CAUCUAUACUGUGAAACUGCGAAUGGCUCAUUAAAUCAGUUAUCGUUUAUUUGAUAGUACCUUACUACUUGGAUAACCGUGGUAAUUCUAGAGCUAAUACAUGCUAAAAAACCCGACUUCGGGAGGGUUGUAUUUAUUAGAUAAAAAACCAAUGCCCUUCGGGGCUCCUUGGUGAUUCAUGAUAACUUAACGAAUCGCAUGGCCUUGCGCCGGCGAUGGUUCAUUCAAAUUUCUGCCCUAUCAACUUUCGAUGGUAAGAUAGAGGCUUACCAUGGUAUCAACGGGUAACGGGGAAUUAGGGUUCUAUUCCGGAGAGGGAGCCUGAGAAACGGCUACCACAUCCAAGGAAGGCAGCAGGCGCGCAAAUUACCCAAUCCCGACACGGGGAGGUAGUGACAAUAAAUACUGAUACAGGGCUCUUUUGGGUCUUGUAAUUGGAAUGAGUACAAUUUAAAUACCUUAACGAGGAACAAUUGGAGGGCAAGUCUGGUGCCAGCAGCCGCGGUAAUUCCAGCUCCAAUAGCGUAUAUUAAAGUUGUUGCAGUUAAAAAGCUCGUAGUUGAACCUUGGGCCUGGCUGGUCGGUCUGCCUCACCGCAUGUACUGAUUCGGCCGGGCCUUUCCUCCUGGGGAGCCGCAUGCCCUUCACUGGGUGUGUCGGGGAACCAGGACUUUUACUUUGAAAAAAUUAGAGUGUUCAAAGCAGGCCUUUGCUCGAAUACAUUAGCAUGGAAUAAUAGAAUAGGACGUGUGGUUCUAUUUUGUUGGUUUCUAGAACCGCCGUAAUGAUUAAUAGGAACAGUCGGGGGCGUCAGUAUUCAGUAGUCAGAGGUGAAAUUCUUGGAUUUACUGAAGACUAACUACUGCGAAAGCAUUCGCCAAGGAUGUUUUCAUUAAUCAGUGAACGAAAGUUAGGGGAUCGAAGACGAUCAGAUACCGUCGUAGUCUUAACCGUAAACUAUGCCGACUAGGGAUAGGGCGAUGUUAUUCUUUUGACUCGCUCAGCACCUUACGAGAAAUCAAAGUCU
rnacentral:rRNA from 1 species